AGCGAACGCUGGCGGCAGGCUUAACACAUGCAAGUCGAGCGGAUGUAGCAAUACAUCAGCGGCAGACGGGAGAGUAACACGUGGGAACGCGCCCUUUGGUUCGGAAUAACUCAGGGAAACUUGAGCUAAUACCGGAUAAGCCCUUACGGGGAAAGAUUUAUCGCCAAAGGAACGGCCCGCGUCGGAUUAGCUAGUUGGUGAGGUAAUGGCUCACCAAGGCGACGAUCCGUAGCUGGUCUGAGAGGAUGAUCAGCCACAUUGGGACUGAGACACGGCC
rnacentral:rRNA from 1 species